GUUUGUUGUCCAACUUUUGAUUUUCAUUUUCUUUAAUUGCACAAUUGUUGCUUAAUAUAUAUAUAUAUAUAUAUAUAUAUAUAUAUAUAUGGGACGUGGGUAGCGCUGUGGGUUAAACCACAGAGCCUAGGACUUGCCAAUCAGAAGGUCGGCAGUUCGAAUCCCCGCGACGGGGUGAGCUCCCAUUGCUCGGUCCCUGCUCCUGCCAACCUAGCAGUUCGAAAGCAUGUCAAAGUGCAAGUAGAUAAAUAGGUACCGCUCCAGUGGGAAGGUAAAUGGCGUUUUCGUGUGCUGCUCUGGUUCGCCAGAAGCGGCUUAGUCAUGCUGGCCACAUGACCUGAAAGCUGUACACCGGCUCCCUCGGCCAAUAAAGCGAGAUGAGCGCCGCAACCCCAGAGUCGGUCAUGACUGGACCUAAUGGUCAGGGGUCCCUUUACCUUUAUAUAUAUAUAUAUAUAUAUAUAUGGACCUAAUGGUCAGGGGUAACUUUACCUAUAUACAUAUAUACAUAUAUACAUAUAUAUAUAUAUAUAUAUAUGAAUGUGACUUCUGACUUCUGCUAAAUAUCUGCUAAAUGUGCAGCACUAAAAAAGUGGCUUCUGCGAAAUAAAGCAUUUCCCCACUGAACUGACCUUCCCAAGCCCUCGGCGCCUCCUUAUCAAACUUGCAGGACCCAGACAGGCUGCAAUCCUGCUUCCCUUCAUUUCCCCGCCACCCCCGCCUUCCUCGUGGUCUUUCUGAUCAAGCCAGGCGCUCUCCCGGCCUCCUUCCAUUGUUAUCCCUCCCGCCUCCCCCCCACCCCGGCUCCUCGUCGCAAUCGCAUCACGUGACGCCGCCCUCCGCGGCUCUUCCUCCUCCUCUCGCUGGCGAUCACGUGUCUGCGAGCUCUUCGCUCCCGCCCCGAAGCCGCCUCGGCUGCUGCUUCUUAUUCAUUCGUCGGCGCGUCUUAGCGACGGCAGCGCACAAUUUCGGGCUACUGCUGCCGCCGCCGGUCUCGUUGCGGGAAACGGCGCCCAGAUAGACUUCACAUGCAGUUUGCAAGAUGACGCCAAAGCAUGAAAAACAGGUAAGUGCUUCAAUUUGUGUGUGUGUUGCUUUUUUAGUUUGGAAGGGGGUGUUUUCCCUAGAAAUAUGGAACUUUGUUUUAUACUACUAAAAGCAGAAAUGUUCUGCAAAAUGUUUCUGCGUUGAUCAGCCACUAUUCAGCGAACAGCUUGCAAGUUGGGUGUGACUAUAUCACCAACCAGCACUGAGUAAACAGGGCAGCUUAUAUCUGGGGUAGCAUCUUAGGAGACAAAGUAGGUUGUGUAAUUGCUGCAAUGAAGAGAUGG
rnacentral:lncRNA from 1 species